AGCAGCCGCGGUAAUUCCAGCUCCAAUAGCGUAUAUUAAAGUUGUUGCAGUUAAAAAGCUCGUAGUUGAAUUUCGAGAUCAAAUUGUUGGUCGUGCCUUGGUACGCACUGGCAUUAUUGGUUUCUCCCUUCUGACGAAUCAUGAUGUCAUUAAUUUGGUGUCUUGGGGAAUCAGGACUGUUACUUUGAAAAAAUUUAGAGUGUUUAAAGCAGGCUCACGCUUGAAUACAUUAGCAUGGAAUAAUGAAAUAGGACGUUUGAUUCUAUUUUGUUGGUUUCUAGGAUCGACGUAAUGAUUAAUAGGGAUAGUUGGGGGCAUUAGUAUUCAAUUGUCAGAGGUGAAAUUCUUGGAUUUAUUGAAGACUAACUACUGCGAAAGCAUUUGCCAAGGAUGUUUUCAUUAAUCAAGAACGAAAGUUAGGGGAUCGAAGACGAUCAGAUACCGUCGUAGUCUUAACCAUAAACUAUGCCGACUAGGGAUCGGAUGAUGUUAAUUUUUUAAUGACUCAUUCGGCGCCUUA
rnacentral:rRNA from 1 species